UAUUCAAGUGACACAAAUUUUAAAGUAAAUUUUUUUACUUUUUCAUUAAAACAUCCCAUAUAAACCUAAUUAUGAAAGGUAUAUUUUUCAUUUUCACAGCAUUUGUUCAAAAAGACCUAUAAUAGGGAGACGAAUUUUUUUCCGUGAUCCCUACAAGACGGAGGUAACUCAUACACCACUACACAUGCAAAUUUUUUCAGCUUUUACCAAUACAUACACAUUGCUAACAUUUUGUAGCUAAGUGGCAAUCUCAGUAGUUAGAGUAGCAAAAUUCAUUAACCCUAAUAUUUGUAUGUGAUACAAUGAACCGUUCAAAAAUCGCCGACAUGGCCACUGUUCAUUUGAAAAUAAAAUUUUAAGUGAAUGGAUAUAAGUAUACGUGUGUGCACAGCAAAGUAGGAGCAAGGAGGUGACGGUGAAAUUGGUGGAGAUAUUGAAAAGACAAAUCUUCUUCUGCUUACGCGGUUAUAGCCGAGUCCACAACAACGCGCCACGCAUCUCUCCUUUUGUUAACAAUUGAACAACAUGACCAAGCCCGCGUAGCCGCUGUCUUUUUAUUCGCUGGACUAUGCCUAUGUCGUCGAACAACACAUACAGCUCAUCAUUUCAUCUUCUGCGGUAUUCGCCGUUGCCAAUGUUCAAGGGACCAUAAAUCUUCCGCAAAACCUUUGGAUGUUAACACCGUCCACGCUUCUGCACCAUAAAGUAGGACGGGAAUGAUGAGGGACUUGUAGAGUUUAGUUUUUUCUCAUCGAGAGAGGACUUUACAUUUCAAUUGCAUAAACACAAAUACUUUGCACAAAUGGAGGAUUACAAUAGCUACAACUUUUCUUAGGCAUGAUAAACAAGACAACAACAAAUCCCAUCGGACAUUUAGAUUCGCAGUUGCACAACCUCUUUCCGACGAGCUGAACCCUUUUAUGAUGUACAUAUGAGAUAGGAUUGUGUGGAAUUGACAUCAAACAAUAUUGGUUGAGUAGUUUCGUUGGAACCUUACAGAAUAGUUAUAAGGAAAUCGUUGGCGUUUAGUACUAAUGUAUUCAUUUUGAAUUAUGAAUUGAUAUAAAUUAUGAAUUAGAUUUAAAUGUAAAAUAUUGUUAUAUUAUACAAAUGAAUGUUCGAAUACUAAUAACAGAUACAAUAAAUGAUAGCUGCAAACGUUUGUAAAAAUUAAAGUUCACUUUGUACUGAAAUGCUAAUAUUUAAAAAUUAAUCUAUAAUGAUUAUUAAAAAUUUAAAAUAUUA